UGCCAGUUGGAUGUGGGAAUCAAUGCUUAGAAGUGGAUGUCUUUGAUCUUCCGAGAUGUUGAAUGGUCACGCUGCAAAGUUUGAAUUUUUUUCCUGAUCGAGAGCAGCGAUCAUUGAUCACGGCCGACCAUGAAUAAGGGUUCAGAUUGAUGUAUGUUGACCUUAGCUCUGGAACAACAGGAAGCAAAAAUAGCGUAAGCAAAAUUAUAUUUGGAGGAUCGAAAGGUAAAUUGUGUUUGCUUUGGCAUCUGGGCGUCGACUUUUUUCGGAAAAUAUUUUCCAUUGAAUACAUCGAUCGAGUCAGCUAAAAAUUGAUAGAUAGCUCUAUAGAAAUCCACUAGAGUAUUAUCUCGGCUCAUCGUGAAAGCAUCGUCGCGUGGUCCCACGAUGAUUGAUAGACGUUCGGAAUAUUUCAUGGAAGGGAAAGGGAAGAGAGAAUAGUCGGACAUUACGUCAUAGAAAAGCCUCCCGGGAAGUUGUCAGCAGCUCUGUCGCGUUGCAGAGAAAGCGGAGGAGGUUUCCGCCUCCCGUUUUUUCCUGCAGCUGUCGACGAAUUUUUAUUGAAAAUAAAAUUCAAAAACAAUAUCGUAAAUUGAAAAAAAAAAUCUCAAGCACCUGAAGAAUUCAAUGAGAUUAAGUUCAAUGAAAUGAGGGAAUAAUUCUUCUCUUCAAAUAUUUCUUUUAUUGUUUUGGUUUGAUUAACACAACUGUUUAGAGAAUUUAGACUUCAUGGAUUUUCGAUAUACAUGAUAAUCUAUUCAGUGGAGUUGUCACAAUUUCGUUGGAUCGUUCAUGACUGAACGAAUGAAGAAUAUGAGUCCCGCCCUUCAAAUGAAAAAUUCCAUAAUUUAUAUAAUACAAUUGAUAAUACAGUAAUAAUUCUUUUCCCCCGCGACUGGUACAAUAUUAGAAAUAUCACAACAUUAAUAUCUAUCUCACACGGAUAUAAAUAAGAAAAAAAAACCAGUUAAUGUUCUUCAGGCGAGAUGAUCAUAGCUGAGAUGUUCCAAUCGAGUGAAAAUAGCUGAGGAAACGGUUCAAUUGAUGGCUUUUGAAAAAUCAAGUUAAAGAAAAUGCCUUAAUUUUAUAUUCCUACAAAUUUGUAUAAAAAAAUUCAUUCACAUUUAUUAUUCGCUGAUGCUUUUACAUACGCCAUUAGCUGUUACACAAUCGAAUAAAUUGAGGUUUUUAUUGUUAAAUUAUUAGUUCAUGGUGAAUCAAUAGUUGAGGCACUGAAGCCUGGCAAAAUAUUCUGUUAAAUUUUUUGAAGAACGAAAGCACUUUAUUUUCUGUUUAUUUGAAAUAUAAUUUUAUCACUUUAAUACCAUUAAGCAGUUCAGUCAUUUUAUAUAAAAUAAUACUCAAACCGAGCUUAGAAUAAACUUUUCCAUCAUGGGUCCUCCGUUUUCAAUUGAAAAAAACAUUCUUAUGCAGCUGAGAGAUUCAGUAGUACGCAAAGUAAUGGAAUAAGUGAAAAGAGUAAAUCACUUGAUUAUUGCUGUCAAUAAAUCAAAAUAUAUUUCUUUGCUGCUGAUAUACCGGAAAUGAUGGUCAAUCAAGUGACUAAUGAAGAAGCUUUUGAUCAGAAUUUUUUUGACACAUUUCCAGUGACGAGACAUUCACUUAUCCCAUUUUGUCUCACUAUCAGAACCAUUUUUGGCAAGUCUAAUCUCAACAGAAGCUGUCUAAAAUCUCUAAAAUAAUUUUCCAAUGUCCCCACCUUCCUUAAUUUAAAAUGCCCCAGCGAAUUCAUUAAUGCAUCAAUUCCUCAUAAUUUAGCUAUGGCAAUGGGAAGAAAACCUCGAUAAACGAUAAUAAAGGAUUAAUCUGGCACACAAGCAUGUGGAAUUCAACUUUGUCGUACGAAAAAGAAAAUCUUAUGACAUGUAAUUAUAAUUUACACUCCUCGACUCAUGAUGCAUUUAUGAUGUAUGAAACGUGGAUUUUCAUUCACUAGAUUUCAGGAAACUUCCGUUUGUAGUAUUUCUUUUUGCUGCCAUUUUCUGUUUUUUUUUGUUAUUCCUUUUUGAUUAUGGAAAGAGAACAGUAUGUAUGAUCGGCCAUUUAGCUACAUAACAAUUACUAGGCUAGUAUAUACAAAUGACUAUACUAUACAGGGGGCUUGCACCAAUCCAAUGCAGUCAGACGUAUUAUAACUGUACAUACAUAUACAAUAGAUUUUUUUAAAUUCACAGCGGAGGCGUAUUUGGAGUUUUUCAGGGGUUUUAUUACGUUAUUUCAUGUAUUUUUACCUGCGGUUGCUUGUGUUGCUAGAAUUUGAUUCUGGGCUAGAACUUGUGAUCCUUAAUUAUUGAAUUCAGAGGUGGAGAGAUCAAACGAUCGAUCAAAAGCUUCGAAACUUCGAAAUAAAAAAUAUUCGAGAUUGGCGGAAUUCUAGGGAAAACGUAAUUGUAAAUGACCUUUGAAAAAUUGUCAAUCAGUCGAUGCCGGUUAUCAACGGAAUAUUGAAAUUAUGGGAGAAUACUGCACAAGAUUUAAUACUCACAAUAAAAAUAAGGGAAAAUCACGGUAAAAAUAAUUGUGGCAUUGGUGCAAGCUCAGCAAUUCUUAAUGAUAAUCAUUAACAUUUACGAUUUUAAUUCCAUAAUUCAUCAGCUUCAUGAAUAAUCUUCACUAAACAAAUCGACAGUGGAACGCGUGUUUGUGCAGUCGCUUCUCAUGUAAAAAAAGGAAGAAAAUAUAUUUUCCCGCUUCGCCUAUUCACGAUUUGUCCCAUAAUUCCGCAUUUCGGUAUUUAGAAUUUCAACUCUUCAAUUACAACUAAUACGAUGCAGGGAAUGCAAUUAAUACCAACUAAUGAAAAUAAUUAAGUUUUCUUUAAUUUAACUUCCAUUCUUGUCUCCGCAAUGAACGUUUGACUUUAUAAUUAAUGAAAAUAAUUCAGCUGAGAAGUCUUCGUCUCGCGUGUGCGUGGAUCCAGCAAAAAUGGAGGAUCUAUUUUUUUUUAAUAUUUUAAUUUAUUUUUUCUAUGGAUUAAAAACAAAAUUCCGGUGAUGGCGCACCAUCGUCUCAUGCGUGAACAAAAUUACAAUAAAUCCUAGUGAACUGGAGAUAAAAUCAUAAUGAACUUCUAGUUUUUGGCCGAUUUUAUUAAAGAAUUUUGCCGCUCAUUUCGUAGAAAUUAUUUAACAGGAGUUAUUUUGUAUAAAAAACGGCAGAGUUUUAUUUUUUAUGGAGUUUUAUCUAUAGGAAUUAGUUAAGUUCAUAUUUUCUACAGAAUAUCGAUUUUUGCAAUAAAAUCGACUAAAAAUCAAGAGCUAUUCGAUAGAAUUUUCCAGCCAAUUCGCAGGAUUUGUCAAUUGAAUUUUUUCACACGCGUUUUAAUCGAUAUUUUACUAUACUUCAUCAUCAUAUUUGUACGUAAAUUCCGUUUGGUUUUACUACCGUGGCUCAUAGGCCUCGUACACAAGUUCUGGUACUAAGGCAAGUGCAAACGUCGUUGAUGUCGAUUGUCGCGAAUACUGUCGACGUGACGAUGUUAUUUCGUGUUACCUGUUAUUUUCUUCCAUAACCACUUGUUUAAAUACACCAGCGGGCAUCUGGCUCUUCACUUCGUGACUACCUAAUGCUGUUGUGCCGUCUUUUGCGAUAAAUAGUUGUAAUCCAGAUGCUGGAAAAAACAUAAUUAAUCAUUAAUUGAAAUGUCUGGAAAAAAAAUGUUAAAAAACAACUGAAUGUACACUUACUCUCAGCGCUCUCCAAAUCAGACUGUUCGAGAUUCGUUGCCUUCAACAACUCGUCGAUGAGUGAAUCUGGAUUAGGACGUGUGACUUCAACUCGACACUGCACAGCAUUAUUACCAGAAUCCUCAGCCUUUUUUCGUCUCUCCAGUGCAGCCUUUGCCCGAUCCAGGGAGCCUGUUUCACUCAGACCAGAACCACCUGACGGAUUCCUAAUGUAGAAAUGAAAAUACUUCUCGUGAGGCCCAGCUUUUGUAAUCAACUGUGGAUUAGAGUAUUAGCUAUCCUAUGCUCGAUAACAACCACAAAAAACUGGAAUUUUUAGGUCGUUAUUCUCGUGUUUAUGAAAUGAGAGGUCUUUGCUAAUUCUAUAAUAGUUUUCGACGAGUUUGUGACUCAUUCAUGCAUGAAAAAUUUUAUUAAUCAUUAAAAUCAGGGAAGCUAUACGUUUUUAACAAUAAAAUGAAUCCAUUUAACUCUAGAGUUUUUUUCUGAAUAUCUCUAGAUGGUGGUUGAUUGUUAAAGUAGGAUAAAUAAUAUUUCUGGCACUUGAUCAUCGAGCAGAAUAGAUUCAUGUCCCACACAUAAUCUAAUUAAUUUUCUUAACGUCCCCUAUUUUUCAUGUACAAAGAGACACUCUAUAUUGUUAUCCUUCUAAAUCAAGAACGAGGUAAAAAAUAAUUAACUUCUAAUGAGAUGCAGGUGUACUACUAAUGCAUGAAGUUCCACAUGCGGGAGGAUAGAAAAAAAAUGUGAUGAAGGCAAAUGAAAAAAUGGAGAGAAACCAUUUCCACUGGAGUAUCCCUCAUAAAAAUAACACGAACGCACAAAAGUAAUGGAUCGAAAGUGUGGUACUGACGAC